rnacentral:misc_RNA from 1 species
GGCAAAGCUCUUGUUCUUGAUGAGAUAAUAAAUUAUAUUCAAUCAUUACAACACCAGGUUGAGUUCUUAUCAAUGAAGCUUGAAGCAGUUAAUUCAAAAAUGCCAAGCAUAGAGGGAUAUCCAUCUAAAGAUUUCGGACAGCAGCCAUUUGAUACAAAUGCUAUGGCAUUCAGUUCACAAGCUACAAGGGAAUAUACCAGGGGAACAUCACCAGAUUGGUUGCAUAUGCAGCUUGGUGGAGGCUUUGAAAGAACAACAUAAAUUUGCAUCAGAAGGUUAAUAAUAAGUUCAUUGGAAGGUUCCCUCCUUUGGUGAUUGCCAGAACACAAGACCAGUCCAGGUUUCUUUGAAAGCUUAUAUCCAGUAUCUUUAUCAAGCACAAAAUUGUUGAAUGUCUAGUACAGCUGAUAAACAGACAACCACGUUUUCCACUUCGUUCGUCUAUCGUGUUAUACUUGUGGAAGGCACCAUAUAAGUAUUCUUGUGAAAGUGCUUGUUUAAUAAUAGGUAAAGAAUUGGGUGUAUUAGUAUGCUGAAGUUGUAGCUAAAUAAAGUGGUCUGUCCCGUCCUUAAAACCAUUGGUAGAUAGCAUCAAGUCUUGUAAAUAGGGAAAAUCAGUGUUUCUGUGUUUCGAUUGUUCAACAAGUUAAGACAAUAUACUUUAUACCAAAUGAAUGAUGCCUG